AGCCACCACACCCAUUAAAUAUGGUAGAGAAGCCAAGGCGCAGUGGCUUACGCCUGUAAUCCCACCACUUUGGGAGGCCGAGGGGGGCGGAUCACCUGAGGUCGGGAGUUUGGGACCAGCCUGACCAACAUAGAGAAACCCCGUCUCUACUAAAAAUACAAAAUUAGCUGGGCGUGGUGGCGCAUGCCUGUAAUCCCAGCUACUCGGGAGGCUGAGGUAGGAGAAUCACUUGAAUCUGGGAGGUAGAGGUUGUGGUCAGCCAAGAUCGCGCCAUUGCACUCCAGCCUGGGCAACAAGAGCAAAACUCGAAAAAAAAAAAAAAAAGUAGACAGAAAAGGUGCCAGUAAUACGAUUAUGUUAACUUUUAAAACUAACUUUAUUUCAGGAAAAAAAUAUAUAUGAUGUUUAGGUAAAGAUCUUGUUCUGUGGUUAAAAUUCAUCCUGUAUUUGUUUUGAUUGGAGGAGUGACUAAAAGUGCUGUUACUGUGCUCGCCUCAGCAGCACAUAUACUAAAAUUGGAACAAUACAGAGGAGAUUAGCAUGGCCCCUCUGCAAGGAUGACAUGCAAAUCUGUGAAGUGUUCCAUAUUUUUAUAAAAAUAACAGAAAAAAGAAAACAAUGCUGUUACUACUAGAAAUCAUUGCCAUCUCUAUCUACUCGAAGACUUUCUGGUUCUGUUCAGUCUAUAGGGUUCCGAAGAGUGAGCAAAAUCUAUAAUAAACAGUAUGAUUCUAAGUGGAAAUCAAUCAGGAGGAUUUCAUUUGGAAAAAUCACAUAAAGGCAGAAAUAAAAAGGUACAGAAAAAAUGUUUUAUUAUGGAAGAUUUCAAACAUCCACAAAAAUUAGAUAUGACUAUGAAGAACUCCCCAUGUACCCAUCAUUCAGUUCACUGAUUAUCAAUAUAAGCUUAAUUUUGUUUCAUCCACUGUAUUCCCCCAACCCCUUUUGGGUUAUUUUAAAGCAAAGCACAGACAUCAUAUUUCAUCUGUAAAUACUUCUGUAUGAAUAUCUGAGAUAAAGAUUCAUUUAAAUAAGGUAAAUACACCUACAAUUUUUUAAAAAUUUAAAACUUUUUUUUUUUUUGAGACAAGAGUGUCACAUUCUCGCCCAGGCUGGAGUGCAGUGGCGCCAUCUCGGCUCACUGCAAGCUCCGCCUCCCGGGUUCACGCCAUUCUCC
rnacentral:lncRNA from 10 species